AAUCCCCUACAAAGUAGC
rnacentral:tRNA from 1 species